GGACGACUAGCUCAAUUGGUUAGAGCGUACGGUUCACAUCCGUAAGGCCACAGGUUCAAGUCCUGUGUCGUCCA
rnacentral:tRNA from 1 species